AAUCCAUAGGUUAAUGAGGCGAACCGGGGGAACUGAAACAUCUAAGUACCCCGAGGAAAAGAAAUCAACCGAGAUUCCCCCAGUAGCGGCGAGCGAACGGGGAGGAGCCCAGAGCCUGAAUCAGCAUGUGUGUUAGUGGAAGCGUCUGGAAAGGCGCGCGAUACAGGGUGACAGCCCCGUACACAAAAGCGCAUGUGCUGUGAGCUCGAUGAGUAGGGCGGGACACGUGGUAUCCUGUCUGAAUAUGGGGGGACCAUCCUCCAAGGCUAAAUACUCCUGACUGACCGAUAGUGAACCAGUACCGUGAGGGAAAGGCGAAAAGAACCCCGGCGAGGGGAGUGAAAAAGAACCUGAAACCGUGUACGUACAAGCAGUGGGAGCCCCACCACUAAGCCAGUGGUGAACUCCACAUACGCAUCCUUUGCUGAGGAUACGGUUAACGGAGCGAAAGCGACGUUCAACCGCAAAAGAAGCAGAGGGGGCUUAGUGGUGGGGUGACUGCGUACCUUUUGUAUAAUGGGUCAGCGACUUAUAUUCUGUAGCAAGGUUAACCGCAUAGGGGAGCCGGAGGGAAACCGAGUCUUAAUUGGGCGUUAAGUUGCAGGGUAUAGACCCGAAACCCGGUGAUCUAGCCAUGGGCAGGUUGAAGGUUGGGUAACACUAACUGGAGGACCGAACCGACUAAUGUUGAAAAAUUAGCGGAUGACCUGUGGCUGGGGGUGAAAGGCCAAUCAAACCGGGAGAUAGCUGGUUCUCCCCGAAAGCUAUUUAGGUAGCGCCUCGUGAA
rnacentral:rRNA from 1 species